GAUGAACGCUGGCGGCGUGCCUAAUACAUGCAAGUCGAGCGAACAGACGAGGAGCUUGCUCCUCUGACGUUAGCGGCGGACGGGUGAGUAACACGUGGAUAACCUACCUAUAAGACUGGGAUAACUUCGGGAAACCGGAGCUAAUACCGGAUAAUAUAUUGAACCGCAUGGUUCAAUAGUGAAAGACGGUUUUGCUGUCACUUAUAGAUGGAUCCGCGCCGCAUUAGCUAGUUGGUAAGGUAACGGCUUACCAAGGCAACGAUGCGUAGCCGACCUGAGAGGGUGAUCGGCCACACUGGAACUGAGACACGGUCCAAACCCCUACGGGGGGCAGCAGUAGGGAAUCUUCCGCAAUGGGCGAAAGCUUGACGGAGCAACGCCGCGUGGGUGAUGAAGGUCUUCGGAUCGUAAAACUUUGUUAUUAGGGAAAAAAAAAUGUGUAAGUAACUAUGCACGUUUUGACGGUACCUAAUCAGAAAGCCACGGCUAACUACGU
rnacentral:rRNA from 1 species